UACAGAGGGUGCGAGCGUUAAUCGGAAUUACUGGGCGUAAAGCGCGCGUAGGUGGUUUUGCAAGUCGAGUGUGAAAGCCCCGGGCUCAACCUGGGAACUGCAUUCGAGACUGCAUUACUCGAGUAUGGGAGAGGGCAGUGGAAUUUCGGGUGUAGCGGUGAAAUGCGUAGAUAUCCGAAGGAACAUCAGUGGCGAAAGCGACUGCCUGGCCCAAUACUGACACUCAAGUGCGAAGGCGUGGGGAGCGAACGGG
rnacentral:rRNA from 1 species